UGGGGAAUUUUGGACAAUGGGCGCAAGCCUGAUCCAGCCAUGCCGCGUGCGGGAAGAAGGCCUUCGGGUUGUAAACCGCUUUUGUCAGGGAAGAAAUCUUCUGAGUUAAUACCUCGGGAGGAUGACGGUACCUGAAGAAUAAGCACCGGCUAACUACGUGCCAGCAGCCGCGGUAAUACGUAGGGUGCAAGCGUUAAUCGGAAUUACUGGGCGUAAAGCGUGCGCAGGCGGUUUUGUAAGACAGAGGUGAAAUCCCCGGGCUCAACCUGGGAACUGCCUUUGUGACUGCAAGGCUUGAGUGCGGCAGAGGGGGAUGGAAUUCCGCGUGUAGCAGUGAAAUGCGUAGAUAUGCGGAGGAACACCGAUGGCGAAGGCAAUCCCCUGGGCCUGCACUGACGCUCAUGCACGAAAGCGUGGGGAGCAAACAGGAUUAGAUACCCUGGUAGUCCACGCCCUAAACGAUGUCAACUGGUUGUUGGGAAGGUUCCCUUCUCAGUAACGUAGCUAACGCGUGAAGUUGACCGCCUGGGGAGUACGGCCGCAAGGUUG
rnacentral:rRNA from 1 species